rnacentral:rRNA from 1 species
AAGCGCUUUGUUAGCAAUUAUACCGUGAAACUGCGAAUGGCUCAUUAAAUCAGUUAUCGUUUAUUUGAUAAUACCUUACUACUUGGAUAACCGUGGUAAUUCUAGAGCUAAUACAUGCUGAAAAUCCCGACUUCGGAAGGGAUGUGUUUAUUAGAUAAAAAACCAAUGCCCUUCGGGGCUUUUUGGUGAUUCAUGAUAACUUUACGGAUCGCAUAGCCUUGCGCUGGCGACGGUUCAUUCAAAUUUCUGCCCUAUCAACUUUCGAUGGUAAGGUAUUGGCUUACCAUGGUUUCAACGGGUAACGGGGAAUUAGGGUUCGAUUCCGGAGAGGGAGCCUGAGAAACGGCUACCACAUCCAAGGAAGGCAGCAGGCGCGCAAAUUACCCAAUCCCGACACGGGGAGGUAGUGACAAUAAAUACUGAUACAGGGCUCUUUUGGGUCUUGUAAUUGGAAUGAGUACAAUUUAAACCUCUUAACGAGGAACAAUUGGAGGGCAAGUCUGGUGCCAGCAGCCGCGGUAAUUCCAGCUCCAAUAGCGUAUAUUAAAGUUGUUGCAGUUAAAAAGCUCGUAGUUGAAACUUGGGCCUGGCCUGGCGGGUCCGCCUCACCGCGUGCACUCGUCCGGCCGGGCCUUCCUUCUGAAGAACCUCAUGCCCUUCACUGGGCGGUGCUGGGGAAUCCAGGACUUUUACUUUGAAAAAAUUAGAGUGUUCAAAGCAGGCCUUUGCUCGAAUACGUUAGCAUGGAAUAAUAAAAUAGGGGCGUGCGUUUCUAUUUUUGUUGGUUUCUAGAGACGCCGCAAUGAUUAACAGGAACAGUCGGGGGCAUUCAGUAUUCAGUUUGUCAGAGGUGAAAUUCUUGGGAUUUACUGAAGACUAACUACUGCGAAAGCUUUUGCCAAGGAUGUUUUCAUUAAUCAGUGAACGAAAGUUAGGGGGAUCGAGACGAUCAGAAAACCGUCGUAGUCUUAACCGGAAACUAUGCCGACUAGGGG